rnacentral:rRNA from 1 species
AUGAACGCUAGCUACAGGCUUAACACAUGCAAGUCGAGGGGCAGCGGGAUUGAAGCUUGCUUCAAUUGCCGGCGACCGGCGCACGGGUGAGUAACACGUAUCCAACCUGCCGUCUACUCUUGGACAGCCUUCUGAAAAGGAAAGAUUUAAUACAAGAUGGCAUCAUGAGUCCGCAUGUUCACAUGAUUAAAGGUAUUCCGGUAGACGAUGGGGAUGCGUUCCAUUAGAUAGUAGGCGGGGUAACGGCCCACCUAGUCUUCGAUGGAUAGGGGUUCUGAGAGGAAGGUCCCCCACAUUGGAACUGAGACACGGUCCAAACUCCUACGGGAGGCAGCAGUGAGGAAUAUUGGUCAAUGGACGAGAGUCUGAACCAGCCAAGUAGCGUGCAGGAUGACGGCCCUAUGGGUUGUAAACUGCUUUUAUAAGGGAAUAAAGUGGGAGUCGUGACUCUUUUUGCAUGUACCUUAUGAAUAAGGACCGGCUAAUUCCGUG